GCCAAAUGAUGUUUGCUUGACACGGGAGCAUGCGUGUGCAAGGACGACUCUGGAUCUAUCACCCAUGACUGAUGGCU
ensembl:snoRNA SNORD83 Small nucleolar RNA SNORD83